rnacentral:rRNA from 1 species
AUUGAACGCUGGCGGCAGGCCUAACACAUGCAAGUCGAGCGGAUGAAGGGAGCUUGCUCCUGGAUUCAGCGGCGGACGGGUGAGUAAUGCCUAGGAAUCUGCCUGGUAGUGGGGGAUAACUUCGGGAAACGGGCGCUAAUACCGCAUACGUCCUAGGGGGGAAAGGGGGGGAUCUUCGGACCUCACGCUAUCGGAUGAGCCUAGGUCGGAUUAGCUAGUUGGUGGGGUAAAGGCCUACCAAGGCGACGAUCCGUAACUGGUCUGAGAGGAUGAUCAGUCACACUGGAACUGAGACACGGUCCAGACUCCUACGGGAGGCAGCAGUGGGGAAUAUUGGACAAUGGGCGAAAGCCUGAUCCAGCCAUGCCGCGUGUGUGAAGAAGGUCUUCGGAUUGUAAAGCACUUUAAGUUGGGAGGAAGGGCAGUAAGUUAAUACCUUGCUGUUUUGACGUUACCAACAGAAUAAGCACCGGCUAACUUCGUG